rnacentral:rRNA from 1 species
UACGUAGGGGGCGAGCGUUGUCCGGAAUGAUUGGGCGUAAAGGGCGCGUAGGCGGCUGUGUAAGUCAGUAGUGGAAGUCCAGCUUUUAAGGUUGGAAGUGCUAUUGAAACUGUGCAGCUUGAGUGCAGGAGAGGUUAUCGGAAUUCCCGGUGUAGCGGUGAAAUGCGUAGAGAUCUGGAGGAACACCAGUGGCGAAGGCGGGUAACUGGACUGCAACUGACGCUGAGGCGCGAAAGUGUGGGGAGCAAACAGGAUUAGAUACCCU